rnacentral:rRNA from 1 species
CUGGUCUUGACAUCCCGGAGAUCUCCAGGAAACUGGGGAGUGCUUCCAUUAGGAAGAAUCUGGAGACAGGUGCUGCAUGGCUGUCGUCAGCUCGUGUCGUGAGAUGUUGGGUUAAGUCCCGCAACGAGCGCAACCCUUGCCUUUAGUUGCCAGCAGUUCGGCUGGGCACUCUAAAGGGACUGCCGGUGUUAAACCGGAGGAAGGUGGGGAUGACGUCAAGUCCUCAUGGCCUUUAUGACCAGGGCUACACACGUACUACAAUGGCCGAUACAAAGGGCAGCGACACUGCGAGGUGAAGCCAAUCCCAUAAAAUCGGUCUCAGUCCGGAUUGGAGUCUGCAACUCGACUCCAUGAAGUUGGAAUCGCUAGUAAUCGCGGAUCAGCAUGCCGCGGUGAAUACGUUCCC